AUGUCUAUUCAAGUCUUGCUCAUUUUAAAACUGGGUUGUUCAUCUCUUUACUGUUGGUUGAUACCAUUUCUAAGCCUACCUCCAAGCAGAGUCUGUCUUGAAGGAGUUACCUGCCAGGACCACCUGCUGGGAAUAAGCUUAAGGAAAAGUCAAAACAAAGACAAGAAUUCCGCAAACAAUGCCGGUCAGUGGAACCUAAUAUGCAAGAGAGGAUUCAGGUGGUUCCAGGAGCUGAGAGAGCCUGGGACCAGCUGUGGACAGGACAACCUGAAUGGAGCUCUCCUCUUCCAGAGAUUGGGGUCCUCUGUUAGAGUCCUGCAAAAGGAGUUAGAGACCCAGCUCCUGGGAAGAUGCUACAACCAAAGUUCGUCCAAAAGCCAGGGAAGCAGUGACGCAGCCAAACCUUGGUGA
rnacentral:lncRNA from 1 species